rnacentral:rRNA from 1 species
GAUGAACGCUGGCGGCGUGCCUAAUACAUGCAAGUCGAGCGAACAGACGAGGCGCUUGCUCCCCUGACGUUAGCGGCGGACGGGUGAGUAACACGUGGAUAACCCACCUAUAAGUCUGGGAUCACUUCGAGAAACCGGAGCUAAUCCCGGAUAAUAUACUGAAGCGCAUGGUUCAAUAGAGAAAGACGGUUUUGCUGGCUCUUCUAGCUGGAUCCGCGCCGUAUUAGGUAGUUGGUAAGGUAACGGGUUUUCAAGGCAAGCAUGCGUAGCCGACGGGAGGGGGGGGUAGGCCACACUGGAACGGGGACGCGGACCAGGCUCCUGCGGGAGGCAGCAGUAGGGAAUCUGACGCAGUGGGCGAAAGCCUGACGGAGCAGCGCCGAGUGAGUGAUAAAGGUCUUCGGAUCGUAAAACUGUGUUAUGGGGGAAGAACAAAUUUGGAAGGAACUAUGCACGUCUUGACGGUAACUAGUAAGAAAGCAACGGCUAACUACGUG